AGGAAAAGGUUGUUUAGAAGCAAAUGGAAAAGACAAACUAGAAAUAUGUCUCAUAUUUGCAAAUGGAGUAUGUGCUAGUCUUAAAUGCCAAAUGUAAUUCAUAUCAGUGGUAACAGCAUUACAAAAAUCAGACAAAGCACAUACAGAAGUAGAUGAAGAACCAGUAGAGGAAGAAGGGGAAGGUGGCACCCAAGUGGCAACAACAUUAUUACAAGUUGAAUUAUUUACAAUUGGAGGCAAGGCAACAUUUUUGCUGUCAGACAAAUUGUCAUCAUUACAAAAAUCAGAUAAAGCACAUACAGAAGUAGAUAAAGAACCAGUAGAGGAAGAAGGGGAAGGUGACACCCAAGACAGCUUGUAU
rnacentral:lncRNA from 1 species